rnacentral:lncRNA from 1 species
GGUUUUGUCCUCUAGUGACUUAAGUUAAUGUGAGCGGUUGAUGGUCAAGUCCACAUGUUUUUUGUGCAUUUUAAUUUCUCCUUUGAUGUCAUGCUGCUAAAAACCUGGCCUUGGGUUUGUUUGGUCAUUGGGCCUAAACGUCUCGCUUUUCACACCCCUCAUAUUGGGCCCAUGAGCACGGUUCACUCAGUAAUCAGUACAUUCUUUGGUUUACUAAUGCACCUCUCUCUUUCAUUUCUCAUUUAUUUUUAUUUUUAUUGUA